GGGCGGCUAGGCAGCGGUGGAAGCGAGGAGGAGGAGGAGGAGGACCCGGGAGUCUCGCCGGCACGGGAGGGUGCCCAGGGCGAGGACGUGCGAGGGGGAGUGACUCUGCGCGAAGCAACUCCACUCCUUGGUCACCUAGAGAGGUGCAGCCGGUCGCCGCGCAAGCUUUCAGGCUGACCCUGAACUGUCAGCUGUGCCAAAGCUGGAGAGGUCCCAGGGGAGACAAACUGCCUUUACCUCUACGUAAGAGCCACUGCCCUACAGGAGGGAGAUGGCACGGCCAGAAGAAUAGGCUCAGGCCCUGGGUCCUUCCCAGAAGCCCAACGACCCCUCUUGGUUAGUGCUUGAACCCAGCGUGAAGAGUGGGAGACUGGCAAAUGCCCAUGGGGCGUAGUGUGGCCCGGAGUCCCAGGAUCACCGCGGCAGCACGUGAAGAGCGAAGUCCUGGCCGCUGAGCCAAACCGUGGCCGGCUUUCCCUGAGUCUCCGGCCUGGAUGCUGGGAAUCCCGGGCCCAGAGAGCGCGAAGCAGGCAGCUUCCUGCCUCUGCAGUGACUGGAACACUUUGGUUUGAGAAAUCGCAGUUCUGAGUGUGGAGAGAGGUGUGUGUUGAGACACAGUUGGAGAGAAAGCGAAAUGUGCGGCGAGGGUGAGGGCGAACUUGGUAGGGCAUGUCUUUAAUUGUGGACCUUCCUGAGUCCAGAACCGUGUUUCUGGCUUGAGGCAAACAGAGCCUGCUAGGGUUAGUUAUUGAGGUCUCAGCCACUCUGGGCCUCUGGUAGCCCGGAGCUCCUUUUUCGUAGGCUCACUUAGGCUAACCAAGGCUCCCUUAAGUGUGUCAGUCUGAAAGGUGCACUGUCGGCCCUUCGAGAAGUGGGCGUGGAUCUAUUAGCAUUUGCCAAAAGUCCUGGAACCCUGCGGGAUUUGCAUGCUCAUUUGCAUACGGUAAUAAUCAUUAGCAACACUGCCACUCCCUGGCCAACCCUGGAAGGAUUCAGGGAAGGUGCUGGCAGGGAUUCUCCCUCCCUCUCUUAGGGGAAGUUGUUGUUCGCGCUGGGUUUGAUCUAUGUCUUUUUUAUGUUUAUCUUUUUUAGCUGUAACCUCUGCUGCUGUGACUCCCGGGAGGGGGCACCCUGUCCCUGAGUGGCCUGGCCCCAAUAGGAACACCUUCCUUAGGUCUUCCACCUCCUUCCCAACUUGGGGCAGUGGAAACAUGGCAUUUUAUCUCUGCCUCGGUUUGGAUUUCCUGUGCAUUCUUGCCACCGUUCUGCAGCGUAAAGAUAGUUUAGGGAUCGAGUCUCCCACACUGUCAGGGAAGGAGUGGUUCCCUGGGAACAUCGGUAGACUCCUGGACUGGUCUACUAAUGGGACAACUUGUGACAUCCGGGUCUUUGUAAGCCAGGACACUCAUUCAGACACCCUGCCCCACCUUCUCCAGUCCGGUUCCUCAGAUGCUCCUACCUGAUAGCCCAAGUGCAGUGUCUGUGAACUGCUCUCUCUCUCUCUCUCUCUCUCUCUCUCUCCAGUAUCUGGAGAAAAAUAAGGGAGACUUGGAUUUCUAGUUCAGGCCAGUGUGGGUUUUGUUUACAGUUCUCGCUGAGGCCAGAUGAGGAGGAAAAUGGAACAAAAGAGAGGAGAAAGGAGGUACCUGGAAGAGACACUGUCCAGGAGACACUGGGUACCCAACCCUCCAUCUCUUCCUGGAAUCUCCCCAGCCAUGACUGUUGGCUCCUUCCUCCCUCUGCCUCUGGCCCAGCCUGGCCGGGAUUUUUCACUUGGUUUUCCCCCAUGACGCGGCCGCUUUUCCUUUAACUCCCGGCUUCUAUUUAAAAAGCUAAUUUGGGAGCUUGUCGAUGCUCCCAAUUCAGACAUUUUAAAUAGGAACUGAAAGUCAGGAGCUGCCAGGGCACUAGGUUUCCUCCUCUCGCCACUGGCCCUGCUGAAGUGUCGGUUCAGUUUCCCGGGCCUCAUGGUGUGUGUGUGUGUGUGUGUGUGUGUGUGUGUGUGUGUUCCUCCAGCUUGGGGAGUAUUCUUUUCUAUUUAAAGACAGUACUGCUAUGAAGACUCUGCAUAUGUGUGUCCAUGUGUGCCUGUGUCCUCUCCAGACUGUGCACACAUUAGGAUUCUUCCUUGGUCCCAAGGCUCUGGCCGAUAUUUGCGGAGCUUGUCACCAUGUGGACUGUGAGGGGAAGAUACAGCAUACUUAGAGUCAGCUCCCUCUUUGCUGACACGCCAGGCUACUGUUGCCUGUGCUGUUCUUUCCCAGCACUGGUGUUCUCAGGCUUGCUCUUUGACCCUUGCCUGGGCUUCCUGAAGGGUCGCUCACUCACACCCUCGCUUCUUGUGGCUGCCCUACUUCGGUUGUUUGUCCCAUGCUGGGCAAGCAUUUUGGAGCUGGGACUCUUCUGAGGGUUGCAAGUUUUCUACGUUCAGAAUGCCAUGUACCUUGAAGGGGAGGGGGGAAGGGGAGAGCCUUUGAAGUCAGAGUGAUUAGGUCUGAACCCGCCUCUGCUAUUCCUAGCCUAGGAUCAUAGGGAGCCUCCUUAACCUCUCUGUGCUUUGGAAUUUUUUUUGUUUUUUCCCCUCAUCUCUAAAAUGUCCAAUGAUAGAAAUGUGGCACUUUAGUAGCUAUCGUAGAUAACAUACUUAAAAACAAUGCCAGGAAUUUGGAAAGUUGGUUAUUGUUCAAGAUAGGAAGUACAGAGCACUCUGUCUAGGGAAGAAGUUGGAACAGCCAGAUUGUGUUUGGGUGUCCAUACCAUGCGUUAAAUCAACAUGCACAUGACAAUACAAACGCCAGGCCAUGGCCCGCCAUGUCAGGUUUAUCUCAUUGGGCUAUCUGAGUCCCUAAGCUCCAGAAAACAAUAAAGGAACAGGCGCAGAGUUGUAGGGACAGGGAUGAGGAGGGGUCUUAGCAAGCCAGAUACCCAUAGGGAAUGUUCUAGAGGCCAGAUUUAUGCAGGAGGAGUAGGUUCCAAGAUCUGUUUGUCCGCAGGCUCCCACCUCCCUACCCUACCCAAGCACAUACAGCCAGGCUCCAGGAAAUAAAGCUACAGAGAGAGGAGUGGCCAGCAAGGGUAGCCCAUAGUUCUUGGUGCCCCCCCCCUUAUAUUGCCUGUUUGGUCCCAUCCCUGUCCCUGCCUCUCACCCCUCCUUACCACUGGGGAGAGGAACUGAUAAAUUUGCUAUCAGAGUCCAUUUCUCUCAGUUGAGCAGAAUGUCAGCAUAUGAGGAGGAACACAGAAGGCCAUAAGCAGGAAGAAGAGCUGUAAGCAACUGAAGACAUAUGCUCUCUGUGGGCUCCAGUGCAACCUUGCAAAUCUGGAGGUAUAUGUGGUGUCUUGGCUACUUUUCUAUUGCUGUGAUAAAACAUGAUGAUCAAGGCAAUUUAUAAAAGAAGGCAUUGAAUUUGCAGCUCAUGGUUUGAGAUGGUUAGUGUCCAUGUGCAUCGUGACGAGGAGCAUGAGAUCAGAAAGGUAGGCAUGGUGCUGGAGCAGUAGCUGAGAGUUUACAUCUUGAUCUACAAGCACAAGGCAGAGAGAGGGAGGAGAGAGAGACAGAGAAAGAGACAGAAAAACAGGAGCAUGUGAGAGGGAGCUAAUUGGGAAUGGGGUGGGCUCUUGAAACCUCAAAGCCUACCCCCACCAGUGACACACCUCCUGCAAUAGGAGGUUUUAAUCCUUUUUCAACAGUUUCACCAACUGGGGGACCAAGUAUUCAAACAUGUGUGCCUAUUGGGGGGGUGUUUUCAUUCAAACCACCCAUCUAGCUUUGUAUGUCAACUCUGAGCUGGGGAACAGCCCUAAGCUGGCUGCUGCCUAUGUCUUCCAUGCCCUCAUGGUAGACAUGACCACUCACAGAUGCACACAGGGAGGCAGUCCACAGAGGGGAACCUCUGUAGCAUUCACCGUGUUUUUCUGAGAACCUGCAGCUCCACCUUCUAGGCUAGGACAGCUGGUCAACAAGCCCCGGGGAUCCCCCUGUCCCUACCUUCCCAGAGAUGGCAUGGUAAGCACGCACUACCUCACCUGGCUAUUUCUGUGGGCGUCAGAAAUCAAGCUCGGGCCCUGAUGCUUGUGGGGCAAGCACUUUAGCGGUGGAGCUGGUCUCAGUUCCCGGUGCCCCUCCUGCAGGUACGCUGUAUCCAAAAUGGUUUCUUGCUCUUCCUCGAUUCUUGCUUUUCUCUGUCUGUCUUUUCCCAGGGAGAAUUUGUACAGACUUGGGGUUUUAAGUUUAUCCUCAUGCUGAAGAUGUUUUCCUGAGCUCUCCCCGGCUCCUUGCUAUCAGCUUUCUCCAUUCUUGACCACCCUCACCUCUUUGCUAUAUCUCACUACCCUCUCCUGUUGGACUGUCUCAAUCAUGCCAUCUCUCUUCCAGAGCUACCUGACCUACUUACACUCUUCUGGGGAAGUUGCUAAAGAACACCCUCUUCUCAGCAGCCUUCCACUCAUCCUCAAACCUUAAAUACCCAGCACAAAGUUCACAUACUAAGUUUUGGUAAAAUCCUUCCUGUAUCCCAGAUGAACUAAGAAUUCCCCCUUUGGGUUCUUCAUGUGUAUCCCAAGCGUGGUUCCUUCUGUCUGUGUGGGCUUAGUUGUCUGCACAGGGUGUCUCUUGCUAGCCUUUAUGCAUGUAAGGCAAAGACUACGUCUCUGCCAACUCUGAUUCCUGACAGAGUGUGUGGCAGACACGUGAGAGAUGCUCAGUGCAUCCGGAGUAUGAUUUAUUCUAACAGUCACUCCUGUAGUUCCCUUGAUUAUGAGUGAUAAGACAUGUGACGAAUUUGCCAUCUGGUCUGUCUCCAAGACCCUUUUUGAUGGAUCUCAAGCAUGGACAUGAGGACGUAAUGGGGGUGGGCAGAGGAAAGGAAAAGGUUAUUCAAUAUGGGCUGAUCCUAGAUGAAAAGAGCCCCAUAGUACUCCUUUUCAAAGAAAGGCUAUAACGUUGGAUUCAGCUGGUCCUGCCCAUGCAGACUGGGCCAGUGUUCAACCAGACUGGCUAGCAGGGUUUGCAUUCUUUUCUUUCUACCCUGGUGAGAUGUGAAUCACAUCCACUGAACAUCACCUCUUUGGGAACAGCCAGGACACAGCCAAAUUGCAAUGUCCCUGUUUCUUUGCAGCUGUGACCAUAAAGACAAACAUGGCUUACAGACACCAAGACCAAAGGCUGCUGGGUUUGAAGUAUAACCUUAUAUGAGAACCAUAUCAAUAAAUCCAGGACAGUGGAGGCUUAGUGGGGAGAGCACAGUCCUUGGAUAGACCUGGCUUCAAAGUUUGACUCUGUCAUUUACUGCCUGUACGACUUUAGGAAAACCAUUUCAUUUCUCUGAUGCUUAUUUCCCUCGCCUGCCUGAGUUCUAAUGAUGGUAUUGUAACAUAGGACUGAUAAGGAUGGUGUUAGACUAUGUGGAAACAGCCUCACAUGCAAUUAUUGAUGAAUCUAUUAGCUGUUGUAAUAUUGUAGCUAAGUCUAGAGGUGUCUGAAACCAGCUCUUUAAACUAUUCAGCACAGUUCCUCAAACGAUGUUCGUGAACUUUAGGCAGGUCACCCAAGCUCUUUGAUAUGAGUGAGCACCUGACCCUCAGAAUGCAUGUGUGAGAUCAGAGUCUAUGCCUUAGACAUUCCUUCCAUUGCCUUCUCUUUCUGUUCUGUGGUACUCUAUUUCUGCAUUUUAAGGUCUUUUUUCCUUUUUAAAAAUAUUUGUUUCAAUUAGCUAUUUAUAAUUUCUAUACUAAUUAUCCAUCAUAUAUUAUUUCAUUAUAUAUAAUAUUUUAUGUUAAUUAUAUAUUAUUUAAUAUAUUUAUAUAGUGCAUUGUGUAUUAAUUAUAUAUUAUAUAUAAUUAUAUAAAUUAUAUAUUAUAUAUAAAUUACAUAUUUUUAUAAAUUUAAAUUUAUAUAUUAAAGUAUAUAAAUUAUUAUACGAUAAAUAUAAUUAUCUGUUAUUAUAUAUUAUUAGUUUGUGUGUGUGAGUACACUCAAGGUUGAUGACAGCCUGAGGGAGUUGUUUUUCUGCUUCCAUUAUGGGAGACUGGAGGCUUAAACUCAGGGCACCAGGCUUGAUGACAAGAACCCUGCUGAACCAUCCCACUAGCCAUCUUUCCUUUUCUUUUCUCUUUUUUGUGUGUAUGUAUAUUUGUGCACAUGUGUGUGGGUGUGUAUACCUGCCAUGUAGCGGCCCCAGACAGAUGUUCAGUGUUCUGCACUAUUGCUGUCUGUCUAUCCCCCUGAGAUGGGGUCUCUUACUAAACCUGGAGCUAGGCUGGUAGCCAGCAAGUGCCAACGAUCCUCCUGUCUUCACCUCCACUACUUUAGGGUUACUGGCUGGCAUAGGCACAUCCAGCUUUCUGUGUGCACUCUGGGGUCUGAAUUCAGGUCCUUAUGAUUGCACAACUGUUCCAUCUCUCCAGCCUUCCCUCCUUGCCAGUCAGAACUGUUUAAUCAUUUAGACCAAGAUACAAGUGAUUUCAUUGUCCAAAGACAUAGCAUUCACAUGUAAAUUGAACAGAGUACUAACCAAGACUUUUAAGUAGAAUGAAUGAGAUUUCUAGCAUUCACCAAAGUAAUGGAAGAAAACUUGAGGGAACCAAGAGGUGCUACUUAACUCCACAGACUUCUGUCCACUGAACCGAAUGAUGCCAGUGCAAACAGUGAAGUAGACUGUUUCUGAAUUCCAAAGCUGAACAACCAAGUAAGUCUCCAGCUUUUGUGAAAAUCAUAAUAAAGGGAUUUAUGCACCAAUUCUACACACCUACUUCCUUUGGCAAGCAAACAGACACAGUUCAUGAGACUCCAACUCCGCACAUCUGUGAUGCUUACAACCAAUUGCCUUUGCUCUCCAGAGCUCAAAGUCUGGGUUGACUGCCUCCUUGUGUUUCUGAAAGACUUGGCUACAAAAUCAUUAAUUGCUUUAGAGAACGGACAAUUACACAAAGACAAGCCAGCUCCUAUGCCCAUAUUGCAAGGUCUUAAGAGGCUUCAGGCUCUCUACAAGACCCUUAAUAACAUGGGUUUUCAAAGCUCUUCAAAAAGUCUUUACAGAUGAGAAAAUUAUAUGUCCCAUGACCCCUCAAUUAGCACUGAACAUUAGCAAUUCAUGACCAAUCAAGCAGCAUCUAUAUUCUAAGGCCUCUACUCCACAUCUUUGAGUCACAUUCCAGGUGUCAUAUAAUGUCAUCACUAAGUAGUUCAGCAGCCUCACUCUUAGUAACAAAAGCCAUCUCUCCAGGGGAGACAUCCUUCUUGCCUCCUUCUGUGACACAGAAUGUGUGCCCGAUGUGGAUUUGAGAAGCUCAGGAAUUUCCAGCAUUCUGCCCAAAGUCUGUUCUGUCCUUUGCAUGGAAAGGGGCACACACACAAUAUGCCUGGCAAUGAUGCCUCCACGUGUAAGCUCCUUGGCAUCCGUAGGUCUGCUUCACAGUAGCUGUGAUGAGGCCCAAGCUGAAAGGCUGAAGUCAGU